CUUCAGUACAAGCUUUUAAACUAGACACACUUGGCAGUUUAAAAUCAGAGCCUACUGCACUUCCUCACUGUGGUUCACAGAGGAGACUGGGAAAUGCCCAUCCAAAGAAAGCUGCAUGUUUGAGGAACGGGGGAGGGACAGAAAGUUCCAGAGAAGUUUCAGUUCCCCGUAAGUAGACUGAGGAAGCUCCUGAGACGCUCAGCAUUACUGGAACUUCCUGGGGCAGCCUGUGGGGUGAGUAGGAACAUGCUGGACCCAACCAGGUGGGGCCAGGUAGCUGGGCUGGUUUGGACUUGGGGGGAGCAGGCCACCCCUUCCAGCUGUCGCCUAGAGCCCUCAGGCAGGGACUUGAACUCCUGGCUUCGGUUAAGGUCAUUCCACCUCUACUGACUGAGGAGGCCUUGGGACUCCGGAAGGCAGAGUGUUCCCAACAGGGGACACACCUGGGAGCAAGCCGUGUCAUCCACUUUGCAGUCGUGUGGCUUUGGAGAGUUCAGUGGCCCAAAUCCACAGUGAGGGAAGGACAGGGUAGGAGCUAAACCCCGGGCCCCCUGCUCUUGGCAGCGUGGGGUCUGAUUUUAGGCCCGUUAAUUUCAUUCUGCUCCCAGCCACAGGCCCAUCUCCUGGGCCCGUCUCCCCUGGGGGACUUAGAGGAAGGGUCACUUGCUCUCUACACUCCUGCCCAUCAGUGUCCACUAUGGCCUCUGGUGGGGAAGGCCAUGGGAAGGCAGCUUCCCUUUCAGGAGGCAUGGAGUGGAGGCUCCCAGUCUCACAUCCGGGAGGGGGUAUCCUUCCUAAAGGCUGGUCCUCACAUUACCCUCUGUCUUCCAGCAGCUGAAGGUGGCUCUCUCAGAACAUGGCCGCUGGCCUUCACCCCCACAGGAAGACCACCCUUCCUUCCUUCAGCAGCCGCCGGCUGAGCAGCUCUCACGAACAGGUGAUCUUUUGGACACCAGGUCGCAGAGGAGCUAAGUAACUACAUUUCAAUAACAGAAACCUGCCAGGUGCCGCCUCUCUCUCCCCCUCCUUUUGCUGGGAACUGUGUUGCUACCACAGAUCUUUAAUCAGGUUAGACUUGAAGAGGAGGAAAGCGUGUGGAAGUCUAGGGAAAAUCCGGUAUCUGGAAGACAGACCCUGCCCUCUGGUCACAGGGGGUUGGCCGUAGUGACAUGGCAGGUGAGUUACAUGAAAUCCCUUCAAAAGCCUGAUGGUUUCCCUGCUCAAUGUCAGUGUUUAUUUCAGUACAAUCGCAGCUUGUUACAGUAAUGGGUAUAAAAUGUGAGACCCUCCCCUUCCAGGUGACGCACUGUGAGGGGCCAGUGGAGCUCAUGUGGGAAGCAAGAGAAGGAAAGGAGGGCCCACAGAGCAGGGCAGGAGGAGAGAGGCUUUCUUUAAAUUCGGUUUGCCAUUGUGAGUCCGGGAAGUAACCAUAGUCAGCAGUGUGCUCUGAGGGCCAGGUGUCACUAGCAGUGAACUCAGGCUGGCCAGCUCCGUCAUCUGUGAGAAGACCAAUCCCAGCGGCUCCCAGAGUUCUCCGGCUCUAGGUCCUCCUUCCUGCUGCUGCCCCUGUUCCCACCCUGUCCUGGGCUUGCCGCCCUAAAGGAAGGAUGUGGGUGGCUCCUGGGCACUGGGGCCCAAGAUCACCUGUCCUUAAGUCAGAUGGCCUCUAAGAGCUUACAGACUCACAGACUGGGGCGGCUGGUCACGUGGAGUGGAAGUCUUGCAUUUCGGAGGCAUAUUCUGGUCUCUGCCGUCUGGUUCCCAAGAGCUCCGUGUUGCUUGGUCCCCUGCAGAAGCCACCAGGCUCCCCUCCUCAAGUCUCCUGCUGUCUUGUACUGCGUAGAUGUUAAAGAGAGGUACCUUCUAGCUGGAAGGCUGCGUGGUGGCAGGCCCCAUGUUCCCAGGGGGUGACAUUCCCCAUCUUGCCUUACCCUCCCCCACUCACUUCCCUGUCCUUCUGGGCUCCUCUGUGCAAGCCCUCUGCCUGGGCUCCCUCCAUCCUUCCUUUCAUACUGGGUGCAUGUGUGCUAUUCCUGCCAGAAGAGCUCUUCCCUUUCUCCUGCGCCCACCGACAUCCUGCAGGGUCCAGGUCAAGAAGGACCGUGCCCGAACAACCUUCUUGAUCCUCUGGUUCCUUUGACUGCUACCUCUGGGGACGCCAAGAUGACAACACCCACCCGUUUCUUACUUCCUGCUCUUGUCCUACCCACCAUAUAAAUGUGAUGUUUUACCAGUUGGGGUGGUUCACCUACUCUUACAUUAUAAGACCCUUGCAAUCCGCAAUCAAUGCCAAAUACUUCUCUUACGUUCUCCACCAUGGCAGGGACACAGAACUAAUGUAUGGAGGUCUCAUGUGUACCAGACACUGAACUGGGGACGGGACAAUGGGAACUGAAUAGACAUGUCCUUGUCCUCUGGGAAUUUAUGCUUGGGUGGAGGAGACAGAUGCAUGGUUUCGCCACUGGAAGGUCAAGAUCAAGGAGAGAAUUAAG
rnacentral:lncRNA from 1 species